CNUUANGCGGCGGGCCUUACCAUUGCAANUCGAGCGGUAGCACANAGGAACUUGUUUCUUGGGUGACGAGCGGCGGACGGGUGAGUAACGCGUAGGAAUCUACCUAGUAGAGGGGGACNACAUGUGGAAACGCAUGCUAAUACCGCAUACCCCCUUAGGGGGAAAGGAGGGGACUUUUCGGAGCCUUCCGCUAUUAGAUGAGCCUGCGUAAGAUUAGCUAGUUGGUAGGGUAAAGGCCUACCAAGGCGACNAUCUUUAACUGGUCUGACAGGAUGGCCAGCCACACUGGGACUGAGACACGGCCCUGACUCCUACCGGAGGCAGUCCUUGGUAAUAUUUAACUAUGCUUUUAGCCUNAUC
rnacentral:rRNA from 1 species